rnacentral:rRNA from 1 species
AAGGAAUAUUGGACAAUGGACGAAAGUCUGAUCCAGCCAUGCCGCGUGAAGGAUUAAGGUCCUCUGGAUUGUAAACUUCUUUUAUAUGGGGCGAAAAAAGGGUAUUCUUACUCACUUGACAGUACCAUAUGAAUAAGCACCGGCUAACUCCGUGCCAGCAGCCGCGGUAAUACGGAGGGUGCAAGCGUUAUCCGGAUUCACUGGGUUUAAAGGGUGCGUAGGUGGAUAGGUAAGUCAGGGGUGAAAUCUCGGAGCUUAACUCCGAAACUGCCUUUGAUACUAUCUAUCUUGAAUAUUGUGGAGGUUUGCGGAAUAUGUCAUGUAGCGGUGAAAUGCUUAGAUAUGACAUGGAACACCUAUUGCGAAGGCAGCAGGCUACACAUAUAUUGACACUGAGGCACGAAAGCGUGGGGAUCAAAC